AGUGGAUGGGGAGCAACCUAGUUGUGCGUGUGUAAAGGUAGUGCCAAGAAAAGCGAUGAUCAUGUUGAAAAUCAAUUCCCGGUACCCGAAACCGACACAGGUGGGCAAGUAGAGAAUACUAAGGGGCGCGAGGUAACUCUCUCCAAGGAACUCGGCAAAAUGACCCCGUAACUUAGGGAGAAGGGGUGCCACCGAGAGGUGGUCGCAGUGAAGAGGCCCAGGCGACUGUUUAGCAAAAACAUAGGUCUCUGCAAACUCGAAAGAGGAGGUAUAGGGGCUGACGCCUGCCCAGUGCCGGAAGGUUAAAGAAGUUGGUCAGUUUUAGGAUGAAGCUAGCGACUGAAGCCCCGGUGAACGGCGGCCGUAACUAUAACGGUCCUAAGGUAGCGAAAUUCCUUGUCGGGUAAGUUCCGACCCGCACGAAAGGCGUAACGAUCUGGGCGCUGUCUCGGAGAGAGGCUCGGCGAAAUAGGAUUGUCUGUGAAGAUACGGACUACCUGCAUUUGGACAGAAAGACCCUAUGAAGCUUUACUAUAGCUUGGAAUUGUGUUCGGGCUUCCUGUGCGCAGGAUAGGUGGGAGGCGUAGAAGGUAUUCUUGUGGGGAUACUGGAGCCAACGGUGAGAUACCACUCUCAGGAGGCUAGAAUUCUAACUUAAUUAAGGACAGUUUCAGGUGGGUAGUUUGACUGGGGCGGUCGCCUCCAAAAAGGUAACGGAGGCGUACAAAGGUUCCCUCAGACUGGUUGGAAAUCAGUCGAAGAGUGCAAAGGCAGAAGGGAGCUUGACUGCGAGAAGUACAGUUCGAGCAGGGUGGAAACACGGUCUUAGUGAUCCGACGGUGCUGUGUGGAAGGGCCGUCGCUCAACGGAUAAAAGUUACUCUAGGAUAACAGGCUGAUCUCCCCCAAGAGUUCACAUCGACGGGGAGGUUUGGCACCUCGAUGUCGGCUCAUCGCAACCUGGGGCGGAAGUACGUCCCAAGGGUUGGGCUGUUCGCCCAUUAAAGCGGUACGUGAGCUGGGUUCAGAACGUCGUGAGACAGUUCGGUCCAUAUCCGAUGUAGGCGUGAGAAUAUUGAGAGGAGCCUUCCUUAGUACGAGAGGACCGGGAAGGACGCACCGCUGGUGUACCUGUUAUGAUGCCAAUUGUAAACGCAGGGUAGCCAAGUGCGGAGAGGAUAACCGCUGAAAGCAUCUAAGUGGGAAGCCCAGCUCAAGAUGAGUAUUCUGGUGUAAGGUCACGGGAAGACGACCCGUAAAUAGGCACGAGGUGGAAGUGCAGAGAUGUAUGAAGCCGAAGUGUACUAAUAGACCGUCGGCUUGAUC
rnacentral:rRNA from 1 species